CUAUUCGCUGCCUGCUCAUGGGUCUGCCUUCUAGUAGCUGCCCCGGCAGCACUUUCCAAGCUGAGGGAUGACCUGAUGAAAGCAUGUAAAAAUCAUGAGAGGCUCGCAUGGGCCACGUCCCUGAGGCAAUGUUUCUGUGAAAGGUCAAGACCAAUGACUGUGACAGUUUGGACACAUUCGAGGAUGUGCUCACUGGAAAACCCUGCUGACAGAUUCAUGGGACAAGAAACAAGGAUUACAAAGGAAGAGAUGGUUGGAAAAUGUCAAAAGUGACUUGUCAUAGAAAGGAUUGCAAUGACCAGCUGCUUGGUGGGCUGCCAGCCUCUGGAAGUCUCUUGUGAAGGAAUCCAAAUGCUCCCUGUUGAUCAGAUCUCCCAGCUCACGUAGAUGAUGGCCCAAGGUGUUGAUUGCUUCAGCAUCUGGAAAAUAAGAGAGUCGCUACGUCUUCAAAACUGAAUUCUAUAAUUGUUUGGAGAAAUAAGCUGAAUGUCAACUGUGGAAGCUUGGCCAAAAGCAAUGCAACUUCAAGAAGUUUUCAACAACUUUCUGCUUGAUGACCAAUCUUACCUUACCUCCUGGCUAGACCUGAUUUAUGACAUCGACAGUAAUUUACUUUUUGAGGGAAACAAAGGAGGUCAGAAAACAGUCACUUCCUGUAGCCAGAGAAUGACCAAUUGGCAUUGCAACUGACUUCUGAAUCAAAUAUGUAACAACUUGCUUUUACAACUGACGAUCUAUAUCUGUGAAAUAUUCUUGUGGACCCCAGGUGUCUGAUGUAAUUCACUGGCUGUUGGAAUGUUUGCAGCGGGUAUAUUGCCAUUUUCCUAACUGGGCCAGAGGGUUGCUCUCUCAUUAGGUUUAGCCUUGUUCAUGCUCGAGACUGAUGUUUUUACUACAGCCUUGUCAACUAUUCCCUAGAAAGCUCAUAUCUCCUUUCUCCACAAUGCCAUCAAAUGUGAUGGAGGUGCAAGACCAAUGGAAUGGAAUUCUUAUGCCCAGAAUCUCCUCAGUACCAUCCCUCAGGUUGCCAGGAUGACGUAGGUGUAUGAAAUAUCUGAAGUGGUGGAAACGACGCUGAACCUUAGUGCCUUGAUGCCUCUUUGAGAUUGGUUCUUAGUUUUUGUAAUUCAUUCAUGGGCAGAGGACAGAUAAGAAUCAAUCACAUUGCUGUGGGUCCAGAGUCACAUGUAGACCAGACCAGGUAAGGAUGGCAAUUUCCUUCCCUAAAGGACAUUAGUGAACCAGCUGUGUUUUUCCCAACAAUCAACAAUGGAUUCAUGGUUAUCAAUAGACUCUUAAUUCCAGAUAUCUUAUUGAAUUCAAAUUACACCUUCUUCCGUGGCAGGAUUCAAACGCUGGCCCCCAGGACAUUAACUGUGUUUCUGGAUUAACUGUGAUAGUUAUAGUACUACCAUGCCAUCACCUCCCUGUGGUGUUCUCACUGUGGUGCUGUGAAUAACCUGUUAAUUUGGUGACCUUCCCUGACCCCAUGUCCUGUAGCAGUUGUCAGUCACAUUCCUGUAUUGUGUCCAUCCUGCCCACCGUCAGUCUGACUCCCAUGUUGCAACUGGAAGAUGAGGCUGGCAUCGGAGAAGUCAGUGGCACCUUUAAUCAGUCGUUGCUCACUGUGCUCUGGCUGAUGUUCAAAAAUUCAGGCCCUGGCCUCCAAUGAAACACUGAAAUGACUGUGUCUGCAAUGUGUGAGGUUGUUCUUCUUGUGUCUGUAUCAAUGGAGCAAUAUACUGAGGCACAUGCUAAAUGUAAAAUAAAUCAUUUCCCUUCAAGCUAUAAAAAGCUGGACAUCUGUUUUCUGGGCUCCCAGCAAUAGGUCAGGCUUCAGGAACCAUCUGAGCAAUAGCUGAGAAUCCGCUGUAUUAACCAGGCAGCUGUCACCCAGUACAAAGACAAUGAGACAGCAGUGGCACA